CGUGAAGACCUCCAGCGCCGAGAAUACUUGUCUCGAGAGGGACUGGGAAGGUAGGUCGUUGCCAGGC
rnacentral:rRNA from 1 species